rnacentral:rRNA from 1 species
GAUGAACGCUAGCUACAGGCUUAACACAUGCAAGUCGAGGGGUAACGAGAGGAAAGCUUGCUUUCCUUGUCGACGACCGGCGCACGGGUGAGUAACGCGUAUCCAACCUGCCCCCAACUAAGGAAUAACCUUGCGAAAGUAAGACUAAUACCUUAUAAUUUCCUCAGAUGUCAUCUGACGAGGAAUAAAGAUUUAUCGGUUGUGGAUGGGGAUGCGUCUGAUUAGCUUGUUGGCGGGGUAACGGCCCACCAAGGCAACGAUCAGUAGGGGUUAUGAGAGGAAGGUCCCCCACAUUGGAACUGCUACACAGUCCAAAAUCCUACGGGAGGCAGCAGUGAGGAAUAUUGGUCAAUGGGCGAAAGCCUGAACCAGCCAAGUAGCGUGCAAGAUGACGGCCCUAUGGGUUGUAAACUGCUUUUAUACAGGAAUAAAGUUAGCCACGUGUGGUUAUUUGUAGGUACUGUAUGAAUAAGGACCGGCUAAUUCCGUGCCAGCAGCCGCGGUAA